AGCCAGACUCCUACGGGAGGCAGCAGUGGGGAAUAUUGGACAAUGGGGGAAACCCUGAUCCAGCGACGCCGCGUGAGUGAAGAAGUAUUUCGGUACGUAAAGCUCUAUCAGCAGGAAAGAAAAUGACGGUACCUGACUAAGAAGCCCCGGCUAACUACGUGCCAGCAGCCGCGGUAAUACGUAGGGGGCAAGCGUUAUCCGGAUUUACUGGGUGUAAAGGGAGCGUAGACGGCAGCGCAAGUCUGGAGUGAAAUGCCGGGGCCCAACCCCCGGACUGCUCUGGAAACUGUAUGGCUGGAGUGCAGGAGAGGUAAGCGGAAUUCCUAGUGUAGCGGUGAAAUGCGUAGAUAUUAGGAGGAACACCAGUGGCGAAGGCGGCUUACUGGACUGUAACUGACGUUGAGGCUCGAAAGCGUGGGGAGCAAACAGGAU
rnacentral:rRNA from 1 species